rnacentral:rRNA from 1 species
GACGAACGCUGGCGGCGUGCCUAACACAUGCAAGUCAACUUGACUGAAGGAGCAAUCUGACAGUAGAGUGGCGCAAGGGUGCGUAACGCGUAAGUAACUUGCCCAAGGUAAGGAAUAACGUCGAGAAAUCGGCGCUAAUACCUCAUAAUGCAGCGGAUCCGCAUGGAUAUGUUGUUAAAGGUUUACCGCCUUGGGAUAGGCUUGCGUCUGAUUAGCUAGUUGGUGUGGUAACGGCACACCAAGGCUACGAUCAGUAACUGGUCUGAGAGGAUGAUCAGUCACACUGGAAACUGAGACACGGUCCAGACUCCUACGGGAGGCAGCAGUGAGGAAUAUUGGGCAAUGCUCGAAAGAGUGACCCAGCAACGCCGCGUGGA